CAACACUUUGUCUCAAAUUUCCAUUAGCGCGAACAACGUUAGCAGACUAUAAUAAUCAAGAGUCGCAUUAAACGUGAAGAAUUAGAAUGGCAAAAAUGAUAUUGCUUCUGUUAUUUUGUUUCUUCGCCAUCUCGUGUCAAUAUCACAAAAUAGGCGAGUACAAGUCGAAUGCUAGAAAAGGAGGCGGUAAUUGGUCGAACCUACCGAAUGAAAAUACCAAAAAAAAAGAAAGAAAAGAUAAAACAAGAGACUUUGAAAAUCUACAAAUAGAAGACUAUACGAAUGUUCUGCAAGAAGUUCUUGAAGAUUUUUACUAACUGUGAAUUUAUUUCAAGCCAUUUAGGGCGGGAGGGAGGGGGGUUGAAAUAUGCGAAACCUUUCUUGUCUUUCUUUAGAGCUAUAAGUGUGGCAUGCCUUACUGAAAUGACGGAGCUUUUUGUUAGUAUACUCGGACAAAACAAAUGUUUUUUAAUUUUAAAUCUUACCAAUGGCUGGUCAUUUUAAUAUAUUCAGUAUUCAAAUAAUUAUAUCCAGUAUUUCAGUUAACUUUUAUCAGUUUUUGUAACUUUUGUAUACGACCUCAGAAAGUAAACGGAUAAAUGGCAUUACAAUGAUAUACUAUAAAUAAUAUACUAAUGUUAUCUAAGCAAACUUGCACUAUAUGUAAUAAUUGUAAUAAAAUACGUUGUUAAUGUACAAUAUUGUUCAUUUGUUAUAAAUGUGCACCAUCAAAAUAUGA